UAUAUUUUAGCAUAUGGAGUGUAAAAAUUUUUGAAAUUUUUGGAAUAGGUUUAAGUCCUCUAAAUAUAA
rnacentral:tRNA from 1 species